rnacentral:rRNA from 1 species
CCUACGGGAGGCAGCAGUGGGGAAUCUUGCGCAAUGGGCGAAAGCCUGACGCAGCAACGCCGCGUGCGGGAAGAAGGCCUUCGGGUUGUAAACCGCUUUCAGAAGGAACGAAAAUGACGGUACUUUCAGAAGAAGGUGCGGCCAACUACGUGCCAGCAGCCGCGGUGACACGUAGGCACCAAGCGUUGUCCGGAUUUAUUGGGCGUAAAGAGCUCGUAGGCGGUUCGGUAAGUCGGGUGUGAAAACUUUGGGCUCAACCCAAAGCGUGCAUUCGAUACUGUCGUGACUAGAGUUCGGUAGGGGAGCGGGGAAUUCCUAGUGUAGCGGUGAAAUGCGCAGAUAUUAGGAGGAACACCGGUGGCGAAGGCGCCGCUCUGGGCCGAAACUGACGCUGAGGAGCGAAAGCGUGGGUAGCAAACAGGAUUAGAUACCCUGGUAGUCCACGCCGUAAACGUUGGGCACUAGGUGUGGGUCUCAACCAACGAGAUCCGCGCCGUCGCAAACGCAUUAAGUGCCCCGCCUGGGGAGUCGGCCGCAGGUUAAACNCAAGAUGACG